AUUCGUUGGAUGAGUGUGAGGCAUUGGAUCGAUUUCACUUAAUCCAAGCCCCAAAUUCAUCAUAGGUUCGU
rnacentral:pre_miRNA from 1 species